UCAAUGUGGGAGUCCUAGUUGGUCUACUCGUGAGCUGAGACCUUCAGACAAAUCGCCCACCUCUUUGAGUUUGAGUUUCGACCUCAAUAGAAUCAGAGAAAGAAGCCCUUUCUCAAAAGAAGGGCUGACUGAUGCAACAGCAUGGAUGAAUCUUUCAUUCAUUACACUGGAUGAAAGAAACUGGGAGCAAAGGAGGACAUAGGAUAUCAUUCUGUUAUGAAAUUCGAAAAUAGAGCCAGGCACAGUGGCUCACACUUGUAAUCUCAGCACUUUGGGAGACUGGAGCAGGAGGAUUGCUUGAGCCCUGGAGUGUGAGACCAGCCUAGACAACAUAGAGAGAUCCUGUCUUAAAAAAAAAAGAGAGAGAGAGAGAGAGAAAGAAAGAAAGAGAAAAUCUAAAAGAGGCGAGACUGUCUUAUAGUGACAGAAACUCAAUCAAUGGUUACCUGGGUUGUGUGGUGGAGACUAUUGAAUGAAGAAGACAUGAGGAGUCCACUCAACUAAAUCCCAGGUAAUAAGGCCUUUACAGUUAUCCCAAUCCCUGGUGACACUUGCAACCAUUUGAUCUGCAAGGAAGACACAAAUUGCAACACGGACAAAAUAUACACAGCACAAGAGGCAUCACUAAAGACUCUUGCCCCAUAGGGAAAAGCUGAGAUUCACUUGUCCCCAAGUAGCUUGAAAACUGGUCAGAAGAAAACAGUGACAACACUCUGAAGAGUUUGCUAUUCCUCGAUUUGCAGUCAGUAUAAAUACACCAUUUUUUAAAAGGAAACAUUUGAGAUGACUGCACUGUAUACCAGUUUGUGCUCACCAUUUGACACAUCUGUGACAUUUUUGCUUCCAGAAAGGCAGUAAACAACACCAACAUGUAACCCUGGGGUGGCCUUGUCGACAUUGCAAGUGCAUACCUGGCAUAUCAUCUGACAGCCUGAGAGUGCCUGCUAUUACUCAGAAGAAAAGAUGGUGUAUCUGAUAGUCUGAAAAGAACAAAGACUGCAGUUACUUCAUCACUCUUGCCGGAAGGUCUGGAAUUAAUUGUGUUUCUUUAUACCCCAUCUAAUUUUACAAAAUCAUACUUCUCCCUGGCAGUUUACUAAUUUACCACCUCAUCUAAGAUAAGACUUUGCCAACAGUAAUAACAUUUAGAAAAUGCUGUCAUGCCUGCUGAACAUAGUCUCCCAUUCCUCCAACCUCACCCCCAGCCCAUAGACACACAUCUACACAGCUCACUCAGAACUUAAAGCAGGUAGACCCAGCCUUGAGGGUCAAAAAACAAACAAACAAACAACAACAACAACAACAACAAAACAGAAUGAUCUGGUGCCUCAGAAGUUUAUCUUCACAAUAAGAGUAACUAACUCUAUUCAGACACCUCUUUGAGUAUCUGCUCCAGCGUCUGUCCAAUGGGUAAAGAGAGUAGAAAGAAAUAAUUGGUCUGCACUUCAGAAAGGCAUUUUAGUGUAUUUAUAUUUCCCUUGUAUACAUUUGUUGUGUGCUUAUUGUAUAAAGAGCACUGUAUGGAUUACCUCCCCUCAAAUUUGAUGGGCAGGGAGCAAAGCAGGGAAACUGCAAAUUUUGAAAUGAGCAUGGAAAUAUCUAGCCUGAAGAUUCUAAAUGGAACAUUCGGUGUUACGGUGUUUGGGGAAUAGCAAAUGACUGGGGGUUUGGAUAUUCAAUUCAGUUGCAUAGUCAAUUUCACCAAAUUCUACUCUUAAGUAAGCAGGCUUGGUACACAAAUAUCUUCCAAAUUUAAUCAUGGGAAUAUGGCAUAUACAUGGGGACUUAGAGAAGGGGUGACAGGGCAAAGGUAACCAAAUCUUAAUAAGUGUUUCCCACUAGUCUAGUUUCUCUAGGCCAUCAAGCAAUACAUCCCUGAUCUUUAAGCAUGAUACGGUGUGUAUGUGUGAAUUGUGUGUGAGUGUGUGUGCUUGUGUGAGUGUGGGUGGAGUACAAACUAAAGCAAAAGAGCGUAUGUUUCCCUUCUGGCUCAGAUUGCAUUCGUAGAUAUAAUUAUUUGUUUAACAUAGCCACACAAUAUUAUAUUACAUCCUAUGAUUUAUUAGCAAAAGCACGCUCUUUAAACUUCAUUUUCCCAAGCAAUGAUAAUUUCUUGACAUGUUUCAUUACUGGGAAAUGACAUAGACAUUUGUUAUAUUCUCAGACAAUAAAAUAUUACCCUGCUCACAUACCUUCAUGGAAUAUUAAACAAAAUGAAUGCCGUUCCCUUUCUGUGUUUAUCAUAUCAUAUUAAAAGUGAAGACUAGCCCUUAUGUUUUCUUUCGUGAUAGAUGAGACAUUGGAAAGAAUGAGUUUAGUUUACCCUUCUUUCCAACUGGCUUUACUUAGCUAUUUGCAAAGCCUCCAAUAAUGCUGUUAGAGUAUCAUUUCAAUCAUCCAGCUUUUCAAAGGCCAUUCCCAAUGUACCUUUCUUUCAAAUCAUCAUGAAGAAUAAAAAUCCAAAAUUUCCCCUAUAAAUGCGUUUCUUAUCUUAACCCCAGAUUCAGUUAGUUUCAGGCAAUGAUGGAAAUAGCAAAGAUUGGGGAGUGAUCCAACGUAAGGAUUACACAAUUCUUCAUAGAAACUGGUUGUAGACCAACUUUAUGAAUAUGUUGUAAACAUUUAUCAGCCCACAUACUGGAUCUUUCCAUAUGCAUAUAAAGACCAUAUGAAAUAUACAUUCUUUACCACUAACAUAUCAAAAAGUGUUAUCUAGUGUGAGUGAGAGAUUACGUACUCACAGGGUGGUACAUGCACACCCAUAACCACACAGAUACACACAUUUAUUAUAGAAAGAGUUUUAAAAUACUAUGGACUUUCUGUAUAAAGCAGUUCAUCAUGGAGAAUAAUAAAUUUUCUUGAGUUUCAUCAAAUGUAUUGUAUAUUAAGUGGGAUUUUUCAAGGCUAUGCUUAGAGUUGAGUUGAAGUCCUAGACAUGUCUAAGUUUUCCUAGCUCUCAUGGAUAGAAUCAGCAUUAAACUGAGGGGAACUUUGGCAAACACCAAACAUUUUAGAUAAGGAAAAUCUGUGCACUUUUUGACAUGACUAUGGAAAAAUAGCCUAAACAUCUAAGACAACCUCAAGCUUAAGUUCAGAUGGUCUAAGUUCUACACUUAACCUUUACUACUACCUUGUUUGAAUUCAGGCCAAUAAAUUAAUUAUUCUAUACAUUAAUUUUUCCAGGAGUUCUCAGGAGAGAAUAAAUUUGCAGUAUCUAAUUUUAAAGGGGUUGGGAGAACAAAAUAAAACUGUGUAAUCAGUGCAGCUCUCUGCUGAAGGUGAGAACCUACACAGUUGACAGGGUUUGCUCAACAGAAGGGCCAUAGCUUAGUGCUUAGUUGUCACUGACUUGAAAUUCAUAAUAAUUUUACCUUUGAACUUGUGCUUGGUCGGUGAAGUCUGAUGAGACAACGAAGCAUGAGCAGAGCAGAUGUGAUAGGUGUGAACACGCUGUGUGCAGGCUUGGGUCUUCUGGAAUCCUGAGCAAUGGGCAGAAACAUCAACAGUGGCAGCAGCUGCCAUGGCUCAGGGAGAGAUUAUGUGCUCUGCAUGGGGGCAGCACCAACAUCACAGCUCGCCCUUCUACCUCCAAAGCCUGUCCUUAUAGCAUCUGUACCAAAAUUAACUCUCUGGUCUGAAUACUGGGACAGGAACUGCCUGUACUCAGGCCAUAAAGUUUGUCAAUACAUUAUUACAAAAUAAACUGUGCUCAUGGACAUUGCACUAAAGCAUGUCAGAUAGUUACUAAAAUUCUGCAAAGACUAGACUCUCUGGUUUUGAAAACUUCUGCAACAUUAAAAAGCAAAUAUCCACAGACUUAGAAACAGUUUAAAGAUCAUCACAUUCAAAAGAACAGUAUCCUUAUAUGAAGCUUUGGAUGAACCAAUUAUUAACAAGGAAGACAAUUCUAAGACUAAUUUUUCUGCCAAGGGAUAUAUUGUGAUAGAAUGCAUAAACAGUUGUUCUGAAUUGUAUACAAAUUAUGAAGCCAUCUUUGGUUUCUUGUAUGACUGCCACAAAUUGUAGGAAACAUUAGAGAAGAAAUGUUAGAGAAAACAAUAAAAUAAAAUGCUGUUGUAUAUAUUCACAUGUAAAAUUAAAUUCAGACUUACAAUAAACCAAUUUGAAUACAGUUAAAUCUUUUUAGAAAAGUUUUUUUGCAAGAAUCAUUAGCUCUUGGCCAGGCACAGUGGGUUACACCUGUAAUCCCAGCACUUUGGGAGGCCAAGGCAGGCAGAUCACCUGAGGUCAAGGGUUCAAGACCAGCCUGGCCAGCAUGGUGAAAUCCCGUCUCUACUAAAAAUACAAAAUUAGCUAGGUGUGGUGGUGGAUGUCUGCAAUGCCAACUACUUCGCAGGCUGAGACAGAAGAAUCGCUUGAACCUGAGAGGCAGAGGUUGCAGUGAGCCGAGGUUGUGCCACUGCUCUCCAGCCUGGCAGCAAGGAAUGAAGAAAAGACAGCUGUGCUGCUGCUCCCAUAUGAGCUCCAAGAUUCAUAAUUUCGUCAUGAUACCCUGAAGAAGAAAUGGACAUGGAAAACUGGCACUGAGACAUAGAUCAUCAGUCUGCUGCUGACCUAGAAACCUUGUGUUUACUGAAUUCAUCAAAGAAAGUCUGGACCAGAGAAACCUGAAUCCUUUCUAAUUCUCCACACAGAGCACUAUGGAAACUCUUCUGAUGGUUGGUUGAGAACAGGGAAACAUUAUAUGGGUUUAGAAAAGAAAAAAAUAUAACUGAUCAACACAGGGAUCAAGAAUGGGUCCAUCUGCAGGUUGUUCCAACCAACUGUGGAAGUGAUCCUGUAGCUCACGGUGUACAUUGUCACUAGUAAAACUUUCAAAGGCCUUCUGUAAUGAAAAGAAUAAGAAUGUUUUAUAAAUAUC
rnacentral:lncRNA from 1 species